rnacentral:lncRNA from 1 species
GCACAGUAUUCAGAAGCAUGAGCCUUGGAAUCUGACAGAUGGGUUGAAUCAAGUCCAAGAUCAGCCAUUCUGCUGCUACUUUCUGUUGAUGAGCUGAUGUCUGCCCCAUCAGGCUCUUCCUCUCCAUGCCAGGGAAUGUCUCCCUCCUGAGUCCCAAACAUGGGAAUAGGUGUGUCCACCACAAUAUCUGCCUCUUCAGCCUGGGUAUGGGGAUGGGAAGACACGUGGGCAGAGCCAUGCAGAACUGGGCAGAGCCAUGCAAAUGGAGAGCAGACUCACAGAUGAAAAUGAGAUGU